UUUUAGCCCAGAUUAGAGUGGAAAGCUUUUUAAAAACUGUUCUUUAGUUUUUUCAUUCUUGUAAAGCGACUGAAAGAAGCUCUUAAAAGAUGAAUAAAAACAGAAACAGUUGAAAAAACUUGCAACGGAAAGCUGGAGUAGCU
rfam:Flavobacterium frigoris PS1 66_15, whole genome shotgun sequence.